rnacentral:rRNA from 1 species
ACAAGGGGCCUAAAUGCCCUAAAGACACCAGAUUCCAUCCGAUCUUGGAAACUAAGCAGGGUCAGCUCUGGUUAAUACUUGGACGGGACACCACCAAUGAAUACCAGGGCCUGAAUGCU